rnacentral:rRNA from 1 species
GACGAACGCUGGCGGCGUGCUUAACACAUGCAAGUCGAACGGAAAGGCCCUGCUUUUGUGGGGUGCUCGAGUGGCGAACGGGUGAGUAACACGUGAGUAACCUGCCCUUGACUUUGGGAUAACUUCAGGAAACUGGGGCUAAUACCGGAUAGGAGCUCCUGCUGCAUGGUGGGGGUUGGAAAGUUUCGGCGGUUGGGGAUGGACUCGCGGCUUAUCAGCUUGUUGGUGGGGUAGUGGCUUACCAAGGCUUUGACGGGUAGCCGGCCUGAGAGGGUGACCGGCCACAUUGGGACUGAGAUACGGCCCAGACUCCUACGGGAGGCAGCAGUGGAGAAUAUUGCGCAAUGGGCGGAAGCCUGAUGCAGCAACGCCGCGUGCGGGAUGACGGCCUUCGGGUUGUAAACCGCUCUCGCCUGUGACGAAGCGUUAGUGACGGUAAUGGGUAAAGAAGCACCGGCUAACUACGUG